CAGGGAUUGCCUCAGUAACGGCGAGUGAAGCGGCAACAGCUCAAAUUUGAAAUCUGACCCCCUGCGGGGCCCGAGUUGUAAUUUGCAGAGGGUGCUUCGGGCGCGGCGCCGGUCUAAGUGCCUUGGAACAGGACGUCAUAGAGGGUGAGAAUCCCGUCUGUGACCGGCGGCCAAGCCCAUGUGAAGCCCUUUCGACGAGUCGAGUUGUUUGGGAAUGCAGCUCAAAACGGGUGGUAAAUUUCAUCUAAAGCUAAAUACCGGCCAGAGACCGAUAGCGGACAAGUAGAGUGAUCGAAAGAUGAAAAGCACUUUGGAAAGAGAGUCAAACAGUACGUGAAAUUGUUGAAAGGGAAGCGCUUGCGAUCAGACCGGUCCGGGGGCGAUCAGCCGCUGCUCGUCACGGUGCACUCGCCCUCGAUCCGGCCAGCAUCGGUUUGGGCGGCGGGAGAAAAGUCCCGGGAACGUAGCUUCCCUCGGGGAGUCUUAUAGCCCGGGUCGUCAUGCCGCCCGCCCGGACCGAGGACCGCGCUUUGGCUAGGAUGCUGGCGUAAUGGUCGCAAGCGACCCGUCUUGAAACACGGACCAAGGAGUCUAACAUCUAUGCGAGUGUUUGGGUGUCAAACCCGGGCGCGGAAUGAAAGUGAACGGAGGUGGGAACCCGUCGCACGGCGCACCAUCGACCGAUCCAGAUGUCUUCGGAUGGAUUUGAGUACGAGCAUAGCUGUUGGGACCCGAAAGAUGGUGAACUAUGCCCGGAUAGGGUGAAGCCAGAGGAAACUCUGGUGGAGGCUCGCAGCGGUUCUGACGUGCAAAUCGAUCGUCAAAUCUAGGCAUAGGGGCGAAAGACCAAUCGAACCAUCUAGUAGCUGGUUCCUGUCGAAGUUUCCCUCAGGAUAGCAGUAACGUUUUCAGUUUUAUGAGGUAAAGCGAAUGAUUAGAGGCCUUGGGGCUGAAACAGCCUUAACCUAUUCUCAAACUUUAAAUAUGUAAGAAGUCCUUGUUACUUAGUUGAACGUGGACAUUCGAAUGCACCGUUACUAGUGGGCCAUUUUUGGUAAGCAGAACUGGCGAUGCGGGAUGAACCGAACGCGAGGUUAAGGUGCCGGAAUGCACGCUCAUCAGACACCACAAAAAGUGUCAAUUCAUCCAGACAGCCGGACGGUGGCCAUGGAAGUCGGAAUCCGCUAAGGAGUGUGUAACAACUCACCGGCCGAAUGAAUUGGCCUUGAAAAUGGAUGGCGCUCAAGCGUGCUACCCAUACCUUG
rnacentral:rRNA from 1 species